AGAAAUACAUAGAAUAUAAAAUGCAAUAUACAGCUCUAAACGUGUGUGUGUGUGUGUGUGUGUUUAAUCACUGCAGGUCAUUUCUACAGUGAUGAGCAAUUCACCCAUAAUCAUCAUUAAAGAUUCACAUAUUGCAUUACCCAAGCAUUUAAAAGAACUUAUAGUGACUACAUUCCUAGAUAAUUGCUUCUCGCCUCUGAAAUGAGCCCUUGUGGCUUGGUGUCUGGCUGGUGGGUUUGUGAUUGUGGUGUAAACAGGAAGAUGAGAUACAGAACUAAACAGGAAAUGUAGAGUACUCGAGAUACACGUGACAGCCAGAAGGUACUGUGUUUAUUGACAGGUAUAUAAACAGCACAACAUUCUGUGACUAAAGGAGAUCCAGAGCAUGUCAAGAGAAUGAAAUGAAAUUCAGUUCAAUUCUAUUUUAGUUAGGCUUGUAUUCAAUGGAAAUACACUUCACUUCACUUCACUUUGCCUGUCCUGAUGUGAUCUGAUCUGAUGUGCAAGACAGGCGCUAGUAUUGAUACGUUCUGGAAUGCACCUAGUUCCUGCUUUCCGACCACAAACAGGACAGAGUUUGUCAUGUGCCCAACUCCAAAGGAGUGGAACCCAAUGUGGUCUUCUGCUGUUGCAUGCUGAGAUGCUUUUCUGCUCACCAUGGUUGUAAAGAGUGAUUAUAUGAGUUACUAUAUGAGCCCUUCCUGGCAGCUCGAACCACCUCCAAUCUGUCCAUUUCCCUCUGACCUUCUCUUAUCAACAAGGCAUUUGUUUCCACACAGAACUGUCACUCACUCAACUAAAUGUUUUUUGUUUUUCGCACCAUUCUGUGUAAACUCUAGAGACUGUUGUGUGUGAAAACCCCAGGAGAUCAGCAGUUUCUGAAAUACUCAAACCAGCCCAUCUGGCUCAAACCAACACCCAUGCCACAGUGAAAGAAAGUCACGCUUUGAGAUCACAAUUUUUCCCAUUCUGAUGUUUGAACAUUGUGAACAUGAAUGAACUGAAGCUCUUGAUUUGUAUCUGCAUGAUUUGAUGCAUCUAAUUGCUGAUUCGAGAACUGCAUCAAACAGCAGGUGGAUGGGGGUUUCCUAAUAAUACACUCCAGUGAGUGUAGAUUGUAUAAUUUCAAAUUAAAUGUAUUAUUAUUACUAUUAUUCAAUAAAUACUAAUGAUUAAAAAAUGAAGCAAAGUUAUGCGUGUUUUUUUA